rnacentral:rRNA from 1 species
CCUACGGGAGGCUGCAGUGAGGAAUAUUGGUCAAUGGGCGUAAGCCUGAACCAGCCAAGUCGCGUGAGGGAUGAAGGUUCUAUGGAUCGUAAACCUCUUUUAUAAGGGAAUAAAGUGUGGGACGUGUCCUAUUUUGUAUGUACCUUAUGAAUAAGGAUCGGCUAACUCCGUGCCAGCAGCCGCGGUAAUACGGAGGAUCCGAGCGUUAUCCGGAUUUAUUGGGUUUAAAGGGUGCGUAGGCGGCCUUUUAAGUCAGCGGUGAAAGUUUGUGGCUCAACCAUAGAAUUGCCGGUGAAACUGGGGGGCUUGAGUAUGUUAGAGGCAGGCGGAAUGCGUGGUGUAGCGGUGAAAUGCUUAGAUAGCACGCAGAACCCAGAUUGCGAAGGCAGCCUGCCAGGCCAUGACUGACGCUGAUGCACGAAAGCGUGGGGAUCAAACAGGAUUAGAUACCCGAGUAGUC